rnacentral:lncRNA from 1 species
UUGAAUAUCUCUUUUUCUUAAACGACAGCGUAUUUAUAAACAUUAAAAUUGUUCUCCAUUCAAUUUUCAAUCUGUUUUAAAAUUUAAAACCCUAAUGAAACCAGGUUUUAACAGCUUCUCCUCUUAAAGGACAUUAGAGAGUUCAAUCAAUCAACUCCACAGCUAGCAUAACAAUGUCAGGCGCGGAAGAACUAAAACUCCAAAAAUUCCUACAAUGGCUUGAGGUUUAGUUUUUCUAUAGUUCAUCAUAUUCUGCACUUCUCUUGUACAUUUCUUCUGACAUUUUUUUUUUUGAGUAUUUUAAAN